UUUUGACCUCAGUUCAGACAAGGCUACCCGCCGAAUUUAAGCAUAUUACUAAGCGGAGGAAAAGAAAAUAACAAUGAUUCCCCUAGUAACGGCGAGCGAACCGGGAAGAGCCCAACUUGGAAAUCUGGAGGCUUGUCCUUCCGAAUUGUAGUCUAGAGUAGUGCCAUCUGCGGCUGGCCGGUCCCAAGUUCCCUGGAAAGGGACGUCAGAGAGGGUGAGAGCCCCGUCGAGGCCGGUUUAGUCGCUCCACGAUGCGCUUACAAGGAGUCGGGUUGUUUGGGAAUGCAGCCCUAAGCGGGAGGUAAAUUCCUUCUAAGGCUAAAUAUUGGCGAGAGACCGAUAGCGAACAAGUACCGCGAGGGAAAGAUGAAAAGACCUUUGAAAAGAGAGUUAAAAAGUACCUGAAAUUGUUGAGGGGGAAGCGAUUAAAACCAGCGGGUGCUCCCUAGGUAGGCUUUGCCACACGCUAGGGGCUGGUCAACGUGGGUUAGUCGGGGGGGACAUUACUCCUGACUGACCGAGGACUCGACGUUGGCGGAAUGGUUUUAAUCGGCCCGUCUCGAAACACGGACCAAGGAGUCUAA
rnacentral:rRNA from 1 species